UCAUCAGUGAGGUUACUCCUUACCUGUUCCUCCACAUGGGGGCGCAGUACAUGAUGAAAGGAGGAGGCUGAUCGUGUGAUUAUACAAGACUCCUGCACCCCUUGUCCUGACAGCUCAGGGGGUGUUAUCUUCUGAU